rnacentral:lncRNA from 1 species
UCAGCACAGCGCGGAAAGCGCUGGCAAGGAAAUCCGCUCUGGCGGAAAGUACUGGAGGGGGCAGCUCUGGCGGGCAACUCUGAAGCCGGUCAGAUCCGGACAGCUCUGGCGUGAUAGCUCUGGCGGUCAGCUCUGGAGCCUCCGCUCUGGUAUGUCGUUAAGCUCUGCGGUCAGCUCUGGAUCCUCCGCUAUGGAUCAGCUCUGCUGGUAUCUGGCGGUCAGCUCUGUCGAUCAAUUCUGCGCGUACAGCUCUGCGGUCGGCACUGCGCAGACAGCACUGGCGGUCAGCACCGUGAGCUCUGGCGUGUCAACUCUGGCGGUCAGCUCUGGAGCCUCUGCUCUGGUAUGUCGUUCAGCUCUGGAGCCUCCGCUCUGGAAUGUCAGCUCUGGCAUCUCCGCACUGGCGGUCAGCUCUGGCGCCUCCGCUCUGGAGAGACGGUCAGCUCUG